GAGUUUGAUCAUGGCUCAGAUUGAACGCUGGCGGCAUGCCUUACACAUGCAAGUCGAACGGCAGCAUGAUCUAGCUUGCUAGAUUGAUGGCGAGUGGCGAACGGGUGAGUAAUACAUCGGAACGUGCCCUGUAGUGGGGGAUAACUAGUCGAAAGAUUAGCUAAUACCGCAUACGACCUGAGGGUGAAAGUGGGGGACCGCAAGGCCUCAUGCUAUAGGAGCGGCCGAUGUCUGAUUAGCUAGUUGGUGGGGUAAAGGCCCACCAAGGCGACGAUCAGUAGCUGGUCUGAGAGGACGAUCAGCCACACUGGGACUGAGACACGGCCCAGACUCCUACGGGAGGCAGCAGUGGGGAAUUUUGGACAAUGGGCGAAAGCCUGAUCCAGCAAUGCCGCGUGUGUGAAGAAGG
rnacentral:rRNA from 1 species